rnacentral:rRNA from 1 species
GUAGGUGGCAAGCGUUGUCCGGAAUUAUUGGGCGUAAAGCGCGCGCAGGCGGGUCCUUUAAGUCUGAUGUGAAAGCCCACGGGCUCAACCGUGGAGGGUCAUUGGAAACUGGGGGACUUGAGUACAGAAGAGGAAAGCGGAAUUCCAAGUGUGGCGGUGAAAUGCGUAGAGAUUUGGAGGAACACCAGUGGCGAAGGCGGCUUUCUGGUCUGUAACUGACGCUGAGGCGCGAAAGCGUGGGGAGCAAACAGGAUUAGAUACCCUGGUAGUCCACGCCGUAAACGAUGAGUGCUAAGUGUUAGGGGGUUUCCGCCCCUUAGUGCUGCAGCUAACGCAUUAAGCACUCCGCCUGGGGAGUACGGCCGCAAAGGCUG